UGAGGAAUAUUGGUCAAUGGGCGAGAGCCUGAACCAGCCAAGCCGCGUGAGGGAAGAAGGCGCUCAGCGUCGUAAACCUCUUUAGCCGGGGGACAAAACCUCCUCGCGAAGGAGGCUUGAGAGUACCCGGAGAAUAAGCAUCGGCUAACUCCGUGCCAGCAGCCGCGGUAAUACGGAGGAUGCGAGCGUUAUCCGGAUUUAUUGGGUUUAAAGGGUGCGCAGGCGGACAUUCAAGUCUGCGGUCAAAUUCCGGGGCUCAACCCCGGCCAGCCGUGGAAACUGAAUGACUUGAGUGGGCGAGAGGUAUGCGGAAUGCGCGGUGUAGCGGUGAAAUGCUUAGAGAUCGCGCAGAACUCCGAUUGCGAAGGCAGCAUACCGGCGCCUUACUGACGCUCAGGCACGAAAGCGUGGGGAUCGAACAGG
rnacentral:rRNA from 1 species